AAUCAUUCACGUCCAACUUUACUAAGAAGUUCCUUGUGAAACACCUCGCUUCCCAUCAUGGCACAACCACGUUAAAAAACGCCACCUCUGCUGAGAAACCACCCUUACAAAAUGCAGGGAGCUUGCUCCUGCAAGGCUUGCUCACUUCUCCCCUCGGAAGACCUUGGAGUUCACCUCUUCCACACGCUCCAAGCCUCCCUGCACACCAACACCAAGCUGGGUGUCCUGUGAAGGUCCUACUUCUCCCGAUACAUGCCUCCAGCCAAACCUUCCUUAAGCUACUUACAAAGGUUUUCCUAAGACGACACCCUCCCGGAGAUAUUUUCUGAUGCCAAUUACUAAGAUGACAAGUUUUCCACCCCAAUACUAUUCCAAUCUAGGUUACACUGGCUCUUUAGAUUAUUUUUUUUAAUUCUGCCUGUUUUUCCUUACUUUAAAAAACCAAUAAAUGUAAUUUGUUCUAUAUUUUAGUUUACUGCUGCAUUUGGCUCAAGUUUCUGUUUAUAAAUAAACCUACUCUGGUUCAA